AAGCUUAUAUCUUUUGUGGUACGUUGGUCUCUGUACUCUCGGUAUGAAGGAAAGUUUAUUUGGUUAGCACAUUUAAAUAAUGUAAUUCUUUUUACCCUGUGAACUUGGCAAUACAAAUCACUUAUACAAGAUUUUGAUAAGUUAAUACCCUUAAAUUUAAAGACAUUUCCAGAUACACUUGAAGUAAGUUACCACAGAUUUGAAAGGCAUCAUUUAUAGCUGUAAAAUCAGUAAAUUUGCUUUAAUUUUACUUAAAAACAACUUUGUGGGGGGAGGUUGAAAAUACAAACUCAGUUAUUGAAUGUUACAGUGUAUGUAUUGAAAUCUAAAGACAUUCACAAAUUAGUACCUAAGAAGACAUACAUUUACAAAUAUACACAUUCUAGAUUUGAUAAAGUAACUGUAAACAGAUGCGGUGACUCCUUCCAACAUAAAAACCACAAGAAUAAUUAAGAGAAUCGGUUGGCUCCCUAUAAUGUGAAUGUGCAAAAUUAAAGCAUGAUAAACUGAUAUUUACAUAAAUAUCAAACCAGCAAUUCAUUUUUACAUUGUCAGUGACCAUCUUAGAUGUGUCAUGAGUGGUUCAAUGCAUAUUCCUCCCCCCCAGUGGAGAAGCUAUUCAGAGGUGAAAUUCCAGUACUUUAAGAUGACACACACAACAGCCCUUAUCAGUUUGACCGUUGCCUCUAGGGUGUGAGACAUGAGAACAGAAAGUUGGUUAAGCAUCAUCAGGAGAGCACUAUGUGAAGUCAUUUCUUUUCACUCACCACUAUUAUUAGCUCUAACAGUGAGGAAAUUGGCCUUAAGGUGACUCAUUUUCUCAAUAAGUGAGCUUAAGGAUCAUGCUGGCUUUAUGACUACUUUUUAAUUACAAAGCUAUUUUACUCUAUAUUCCCAACUGGAAAACAAAAAUGGAAGGAACAUUUUAAAAUUGCUUGUUAGUCUCAUUAUCCAAAUACAACCACUGUUGAUAUGCAUAUUUUUCUCCUAAGCGCCCCUUUCCUAUGCACACAGUGUUGAGGGUUGUUGUUAGUAAUUUAGGUGGCCCUGAUGCAAGGAUCACAGGCACUGAGGAAGUGCAGAUUUAAAAGAUCUGCUAGGUUUAUUAAUCUGAGUCUGGGCUGAACAAAAGUCCCAAAUGAAGGCAAAAAUGAGGCCCUCUACUAAUGUCAAAUCCUACAGGGGACACAGAAACAUUUUUUGUUGUUGUUUGGAAGCUCCAAGACUUUGGGUUGGUGAUGUCUGCAAAUAAAAAUGAUAAUUUAACUACAUUGUCCCCCGUUAUCUGCAGGGGGUGUGUUCCAAGACCCUCAGUGGACGCCUGAAACCGUGGAUAGUACCAAACCCUAUAUACGCUAUGCUUUUUCCUAUACAUACGUUCCUAUAAUAAAGGUUUUUUGUUUUGUUUUUGAUUUUUGGUUUUUUUUAGGGCCACAGCCACAGCAUGUGGAAGUUCCCGGGACAGGGGUUGAAUUGGAGCUAUAGCCACCAGUCUACGCCACAGCCACAGCAACACCAGAUCUGAGCUGCAUCCACGACCUAUGCCGCCGCUUGUGGCAGUGGCAGAUCCUUAAUCUACUGAGCGAGGCCAGGGAUCACACUGGCAUCCUCUUGGAUGCUAAUUGGGUUCUUAACCCACUGAGCCACAAUGGGAACCCACCCCCAUGAAAAAGUUUAACUUACAGAUUAGGCACAGUAGGCGGUUACAAAAAAAUAACUAAUAAGAAAUAGAACAAUAUACUGUUCUAAUAAAAGUUAUGCGAAUGUAGUCUCUCUGACUCAAAAUACCUCACUGUAGAUAUGCAAUGCCUUUUCCCUCUUAACUGAGCACUUACACACUGUGGUUGUAACUUUUGUAGUGUUUGGUGCAGCAGCAAACUAACACAGAUUUCUUUUCCUUCUUCAAAAUUUCCUGGAUAGGAGAUUCAUUCUUACCAUAAAUUUUAGCAACAUCAGCAUAUGAUUUUUUCUUUCCUUAUCAAGUCGAGAACAUUCAUGUUUUCACUAAAAUGAAAUACUUUAUGGUUUUCCUUUGGCACAUCUGAAUUGUCAGCAUCACUGCUCUUAUGUCUUGGAGCCAUUAUUAAGUAAAGCAACUCUUAUUUUAUGAGACCACCAGAGUGGAUCAAAUAACUGAGCCAGGUACUAAGAAACUGGUGGGAGGGGUAUGCUGAAAAAAACGGAUGAUUCACCUUCCAGACCUGAUGAAGCAGGAUGACAUGCGAUUUCAUCUCACUACUUGCAAUGGUGCUCAAUUUGUUUCUGGAACUUUCCAUUUAAUAUUUUCAGACCGUGGUUGGUUGCUGGUAACUAAAACCUUGGAAGAUGAAAUCGUGGAUAAGGAGGACCACUCUAAUUGCUCACCUAAUAAGGAUUUCAGGGACAUCUAACUUUCAAAAUUGUUUGUCUUCUGAAUGAUUCCUCAGCACGUUAUCACUAUUGUUUUAUCAACUGCUGAAUGUUGUUACCUUCUGGCAGUGAACCCCUGUCACUCUUAAAUAGACUUGUCAAAAAUUCACCAUCUAUUUGGUAGAGAUAGUAAACAUGAAUGGUGGACAUCAUUUUAUUGAAUCAUGCUAAGACUAAAACUGAAAAAAAGAGUGGUUCAUGCAUUUUUAUUUGAUUAAUUCAGUGGUUGUCUAUUGCCUGAAUUUUAUAUUCCAGUCAGAGUCCUUGGCUGCAGUUGAAUUGUGAUGGACAAACCUGACAUGGUUCAUGUCUUCAGGGUACUCCAGCUCAGCCAGGUGACUGGUAAUAAACUAAGAGACAAUCAAAUAAACAUAACAUUUAAGAUUAUGAUAAGUGCAUGGAAAGCAAGAAUACACAUCACUGAAACAUAAUAUUGAGAUUGGAGAGAGUGGGGUGGGGAUUACCUUCCAAUGGUGAUGGAAGACCUCCCUGAGGAAGCAGUAUUUCAGUUGAGAUCUAAUGGGAUGUAAGGGCCAGCUGGGCAGCAAGUUGGGAGAAGUGCUAGAAAGAGCUUGCUUCAUGUGAGCAAGAAGACCACUGUGGCUGGAGUAUGGAAGUGAACAAAGGAGUGAGAGGCCCAGAUGAGGACAGACAGGCCAGGCCUGGUCACACAGGGCCUGGUAGGUGGUGUUAGAGUCUGGGUCUAACCAGAGUCUAACCUGGUGGAAUGUUAUCAGAACCCAACUGACUUGGGGAAAGAAAACCCUCCAGCCAGUUCUAGCCUUCCUUUCCCACUUAUGGGAAGAGAAUAAAACUGAGAACCACUUGUGAAGUUCAUAGUUCAGAGGCACAGGCUCGCUAAAGACUGAGACUUAGUCAUAGGACUGCAGAAUACUUCCCCUUCCUCCACAUUCAUCACAAAGGGACUAUCGAUAGCAGUUGCUUUUACCCAGCUGUCAAGAAGAAA
rnacentral:lncRNA from 1 species